CACCAUGUCUGUGAAUGCUUCAUGUUACGGUUUGGUUCCCAGAAGAUGGUUCCUACCAGGCCCAGCAGCAGCAGCAAACACAGGGUAAACAUGUGACCAGAAAGAGGUGCAUUGAUGUUGGGAGAGUUCGGCAAGCAAAGAGAUGAAGUUGUAUUUCAACGUGCUUCACACGAUCCACACAUGAAAACUCAGAGAGAGACUCAACAUUCAGAGAGCUGGGGAGAGGGCUCAGCACGUCAGCAUGAGAACUGGUCUUCCAGAAAAACACCCCUGUCAGGUGGUUCGCAACCGCCUGUAGCUCUAACCCCGGAGGAGUCCAACACUUCUGGCCUCUUCAGGAGCUAGCAAACACCUGCACACACCCACACAUGGAUGCACACAUAUUCACAGAACUAAAAAUAAUAAACCCUUUAUAAAUGU
rnacentral:lncRNA from 1 species